AGACCCGAAACCCGGUGAUCUAGCCAUGGGCAGGUUGAAGGUUGGGUAACACUAACUGGAGGACCGAACCGACUAAUGUUGAAAAAUUAGCGGAUGACCUGUGGCUGGGGGUGAAAGGCCAAUCAAACCGGGAGAUAGCUGGUUCUCCCCGAAAGCUAUUUAGGUAGCGCCUCGUGAAUUCAUCUCCGGGGGUAGAGCACUGUUUCGGCUAGGGGGCCAUCCCGGCUUACCAACCCGAUGCAAACUGCGAAUACCGGAGAAUGUUAUCACGGGAGACACACGGCGGGUGCUAACGUCCGUCGUGAAGAGGGAAACAACCCAGACCGCCAGCUAAGGUCCCAAAGUCAUGGUUAAGUGGGAAACGAUGUGGGAAGGCCCAGACAGCCAGGAUGUUGGCUUAGAAGCAGCCAUCAUUUAAAGAAAGCGUAAUAGCUCACUGGUCGAGUCGGCCUGCGCGGAAGAUGUAACGGGGCUAAACCAUGCACCGAAGCUGCGGCAGCGACGCUGAUGCGUUGUUGGGUAGGGGAGCGUUCUGUAAGCCUGCGAAGGUGACCUGUGAGGGUUGCUGGAGGUAUCAGAAGUGCGAAUGCUGACAUAAGUAACGAUAAAGCGGGUGAAAAGCCCGCU
rnacentral:rRNA from 1 species